CGGAGAGAUUCAGACAUCUGCCCCCAGAGCAACAUUGAGACAUUCCAUGAAUUAUGUGCUAAAAUAGAACAAUGAAAGGAUUUCAGAUUUGUAUACAUUUGAAUUCCUAAGGAACUAUAGGGUGUGUCAUCUGGACAUAUGUAUGAAUGAGGCGGCUAGUCACCGAAGCUUUUGGAUUAUCAUUCACGAUACGUCAUUGCAGGGAUUUGCUGGAUUUUAUGCCUUUCCCUCAGGAUUCUGCUACGACCAGUCCGCGACAGCAGCAAUAAUUAUACUAUAGCGGCAGGUGACUCCUACAUUGGAAAUACAUUACAUUUCACUCAAGUGGAAUGGUUGCAGUACCGUGCUAUUGACAAUAAAGAAGUAUAAAGUAAUAWUCCCCGGUUUAUUGUAUUCGAGGGAUAAAGACAUCACCAGCAGAAGCCUACUAAAUGAGUGCCAGAACAUCGGAGAAUUUUGAGCUUUCCAUACCACACUGCACCUUCAACGGGACUACUCAGACAAACGGGACAUGCAUCAACCAAGUUGAUCAGUUGUUUCUGGCAUUCUCGUCCACUGUCGUGCUCAUCGUCCUCAUGKCGGUUAUCAUUGGGAUCAUAAUUGUUUCUCUCGCGACUUUCCAUUUGCACAAAAGGAAGAUGAAAAAGGGCAAAAUUCGAAAGGCGCAGGAGGAGUAUGAGCGGGAUAACUGCAGCCCUAAAACCGCCAAAGGGGAGCAAGCAACCCGACAUUGCAUCAUGGUUAGACCCGGUCUCCGAGCGCCCCCCGCUGCAGUCCAGAAAAAUGAACAGAACACGCCGUUUAAUGAAGACUCUAGUGUCACACCUAACCCAGAAAACAGCUCAAAUGCUGACACAAGCCAAAUUAACAGCACUCAUUGGUGUCUCGGUGAUAAUGCACAGUUCGUUCGUUGAAAAACGUGUAAAUAACUACAGUCUAUUCAUAUUACUACUAGAUAUAUAGUUGCAGUUCCACAAACAUGAACAGUCUUCAUUAUAAUUUACCACCAAGGAUUACCGGGAAGAGCCGUGCCCUUUGACAGAGACGGUUUAACUCUGUCAAGUAGACCAACCUAUAUAAUAUGGGACUACCAAAAGGUUGUUGUUUUUUGUCACAGCUGGCCUUUUUAUCACCGAAUGACAAGAAAGACUAACCACCAGCUUAGAUGGUUGUUACAGGAGUCGACUUGGAUCAAGUAAAUGGAAUUGUAUAAAUGGAAUUGUAUAAAUAAGAUCGUUCUAAAUUGGCUGAAUUAUAGACCUAUAGUCAUCUCAUACCGGUGAAGUGUUGUAAUGUGAAGGAGGGGACUGAAGGUGUCAUUGUGCACUUCAGCACUGGACAGCGUUCAUCGCAGCGAUAAGCACUGUUUAGUGCUGAAGUGGCUCUCCCUGUCGAAAGUCAGAAGUGCUGAAUGGUUGAGGCAACGGGAUGUAUUCAUUAGUCGGACGCGGUUGCAAAACGUUUGUAUAGGUGCGAAACGUUUUGAAACGAAAACGAGAGUUUCUAUUGGAAAAAUUCACGUAGGUCCAGGUUUUUUUCAUAGUUGUACAAUGCUUUUGACUUUAAAGUAGAGAGCAUAAUAGCCAUAUAUAUUUCCCAAUCAAGUAGGCUAGAAAUAUUUUUGGGAAUAGUAGCUAUUUUAUGAUAAAUGCUGUUUUUGCCAUGCUAGUGAGGUAAAAACAUAUUCCUUUGUCCUACAUAGUUUGAAAAUACUAUUUGGACUGAAAGCAUACAUAUGCCGCUGUUAGUAUUGGUAUAAUCUUGUUUUGGUCAAUGUUCUGUAUAUCAAAAGUGACAUUUGUGUUAAAGAGGCAUUCUACAGUAGUUCCGUAGUAGCCUACAGGUCUCAGUAAAGUGAAAUCCCUGUCAUUGUUUAGCUUUUUUCAGCAGACUAAUAUAUAUACUGGAUAAUUUAUGCUUUUAGUUCUAGAAUAGCAUUACUAUAGUGUAUUUGACCUUAUCUAUAAUAAAUAAUGAACCAUUUUAAAAGUCAAAA